GACGAACGCUGGCGGCGUGCUUAACACAUGCAAGUCGAACGGAAAGGCCCUGCUUUUGUGGGGUGCUCGAGUGGCGAACGGGUGAGUAACACGUGAGUAACCUGCCCUUGACUUUGGGAUAACUUCAGGAAACUGGGGCUAAUACCUGAUAGGUGCUCCUGCUGCAUGGUGGGGGUUGGAAAGUUUCGGCGGUUGGGGAUGGACUGGGGGGUUAUUAGCUUGUUGGUUGAGUAGUUGCUUACCAAGGCUUUGACGGGUAGGCGGCCUGAGAGGGUGACCGGCGACAUUGGGACUGAGAGACGGACCAGAGUCGUACGGGAGGCAGCAGUGGGAAAUAUGGCACAAUGGGCGGAAGCCUGAGGAAGAAACGCCGCGUGCGGGAUGACGGCCUUCGGGUGGUAAACCGCUUUCGCCUGUGACGAAGCGUGAGUGACGGUAAUGGGUAAAGAAGCACCGGCUAACUACGUG
rnacentral:rRNA from 1 species